ACGUACGCUGCGGCACGCCUAACACAUGCAAGUCGAACGAAGUAGCAAUACUUAGUGGCAGACGGGUGAGUAACAUGUAGGUAUCUGCCCUUUGGCCUGGAAUAACACGAGGAAACUUGUGCUAAUACCGGAUAAGUCUUUACGGAGAAAGCUUUAUGCACCAUUGGAUGAGCCUGCACUUGAUUAGUUUGUUGGUGGGGUAAUGGCCUACCAAGACUGUGAUCAAUAGCUGAUUUGAGAGGAUGAUCAGCCACAUUGGGACUGAGACACGGCCCAAACUCCUACGGGAGGCAGCAGUGGGGAAUCUUGCACAAUGGAGGAAACUCUGAUGCAGCGAUGCCGCGUGAGUGAAGAAGGCCUUUGGGUUGUAAAGCUCUUUCGUCGGGGAAGAAAAUGACUGUACCCGAAUAAGAAGGUCCGGCUAACUUCGUGCCAGCAGCCGCGGUAAUACGAAGGGACCUAGCGUAGUUCGGAUUUACUGGGCUUAAAGAGUUCGUAGGUUGUUGAAAAAGUCGGUGGUGAAAUCCCAGAGCUUAACUCUGGAACUGCCAUCAAAACUUUUCAGCUAGAGUAUGAUAGAGGAAAGCAGAAUUUCUAGUGUAGAGGUGAAAUUCGUAGAUAUUAGAAAGAAUACCAAUUGCGAAGGCAGCUUUCUGGAUCAUUACUGA
rnacentral:rRNA from 1 species